UUACAGCCAGUUCUUAAUUUUUGGUCCUAAAUACUUCUACUCAUAUACACUUGCCUGAAACGUUUGCUUAUAAAUAGGCUUCGUUUGAAUAAAAUGACACCAUUUUGGCAAACUCGGUGAUGAAAAUGUUGGCAUUCACCUUGACACAAUGCAACAACCCAGAAAUCUGAGCAGGUCCAACGAAAAUGAGGGAAGCUACUCUAAACUCACACAAAUCAUCCUCACUUAAAUGCAACCCAUUUUAUAGGGCAAAUAAUUUUGUUUGUGUCAAUUGUUUGAAAAGAAUAUCCCCCAACAAUAUCUUAAUUAAUUCUGGCUAAAGUGAUGGUCAAUAUGAACCGUGAGGUAAGACUCUGAGGCAGCAUGUUGCUCGAAUCAUUUUAUGGUCUGUGUUGUUAACCCCUCAUGUUUCUCUGUGACGACCUUUCCACAGAAGCACUUAGCCGGUGAGACAGCCAGGAGGACAGCAGCAACAUCUGGCGCCGCCGCGGAUGUCAAAAAGCCGGAAAGUUCAUGAGGCUAUAACCAUGAGGAAGAGGUUCCGAACAGUGCAACUGUAGUCUCAGUCCAAAAAGCCGUUCUAUGAACCACCACAAGGUUACUUCAUGUAAUCGUGACAAGUUCCACUGCCGAGACUGACGCGACUGAAGGGUUUUCAGAUCGACAACGCAAGCCCAACAGCUCUGCCUUCCCACGUGCCUCUAUCAAACGCUGCAUUCUCAGAAUAAAUCCAGACGUUCUGCGCCAGCGAGCGGCGAGGUGGCAAAGGCCUCCGCAUGCAAACUCCCCCUCACUUGCUGAUUUUUACGCUCCCUCUUUGAGCCGCCGUCAACACCCUUAAAUUAAGCGCCUCGCUCGCUGGACCGAGCUUGUGUAUCGACGCGUAUGCCGAGAGGGAUCUCGGAGGCGCGCGCAACAACCUUUUCAUGCAAAUGCGGUAAAACCAGCUUGCGACGUUUCGGGAAACCACGUAAAAAAAAAAAAAAAAAUGUCAAGAAUUAAAUGCAAACAACUUGCCACAAGGUUAACUUUGAGUUUAGGUCUGUUUCGGCGAUUUGAGGCCAAGUCAUUAUUAUCUCAGUGCUUCAUUAUAGAUCACACUCUUAAAUACAAAUGGAAUAACGGUCUAACUAAAUCCAUUUGUUAUGGCUUGGCCUUCAGCUUUUAGUUCCCCCUGAAUCUUAAAGGGGACAUAUUAUGGAAAUUAGGCUUUUAAUUUAUUUUAUAUUCAUAGUUGGGGCUCGGAGAUGCCUGCCCGCCCAUCAAAUGCGGAACUACACAACCAAGUAAAUCUUUUGUUAUCUGUCGAUGUAUGAAAAUUAGUCUGCAAGACAGCCAUUAUGAAUUUUUAAUAGCUCCCCCCGCCCCGUCAGAUACUACAAGGUAGGAUUCUCCAGUGAAGUUGACAAUGUGGUGCAGGACAAAUUGACGAGUCUUGAAUAAAGUCUUCCCAGAAGCGUGGGAGCUGCUCUUAUCUCACUUCCUGUUGGUUGAAAAGAUGUUGGUCCAGGUACUUUCAUGCACAGUUUCCUUAACUUGAUGCCUAGGCCCGAAACGCAUUGCAGGUCAGUUUUUAUGGUUUCGCCAAUUGUCACAGUAAGGACUGUAACUAAGUAUUGUAUAAGCUACUUUCGUGAUUGUUAAGUAAGCACCCAACCUCUUGGCAAAGUGCUUCUUUAUUUGUGUUUGUUGUCGUAAAUGUAUGUCUUCUGUGUACUUUACCAUUACUUUACAAUAUAAUAAAAGCGAUUAUAGAAUAGAAUAGAACAAUAUUUACAUGGCUUUCCCCUCCUAUGAUGUCUAGUUACCCUAAAUUUGCAUUCAACGCGUAAAGAGGAAGCGGCAAUAAAAACAGACUCCUCUCCCCGAAUGCGGCAACCAGUCAUGCAUCUCGUCAUUUGGCAUUCGGCGUGCGCUGAUGACUGGCCGUGUUGUGUGAAUUGAACACCUGCAGGACAAGAGCGGUUGACUUCAGAACAAAAGCCUGUUAAGACAAUAUCAGGUUUUGCCAGCGGGGUGCCUACACGCUGACAAAUAAAAAGUGUGAAACGCUACAUCUUGAACUUAGAACUUCUUCUUAUGUUUUUUUUAACUCCGGGAGAACAGAGAUUUGGCUUUCAUGUUCACACAUCACUCCUCCUCGAGCAACAAGUGGUCCGUCGAUAUGAAAACGGGUGGUCCGAUUCUCCCUACUACUUGGUUGAUGCUUAAAAUUUAAUGCACACAGCUAAUUCGCUGUGGUUUUUCCCCCCCCCCCCCA